AUGUAAAUAAAAGUAUCAAAUAAAGGAAAAGACAAAAAAUGACACAAACAGAUCCAUCUACCUCAAAGUUCUUAGGAGGCCUUUGCAAUCCCAAGAAAAUGCAAAUCACAGUCUAAAUCCUUCCUUGUAGUCUUCUUAAUUUAAUUCAAUUAAUAAACACACAAAAAUUGUUUAUAUGGUUUAGAAGUCACAAUUCCAUGAACACACUCAGACAACUCCUUAUCUAUCCUUACCUUCUAAGCCUGUGCCCUGGACUCCUGUUGCUAAUCACAGUCCUUGUUUGCUGAGAGCCUCUGAGUACCUCAAUAGUAAAGCCUACAGUCUCUCGUUACUUUUAAGACACAUUUUUGGAAGUAUGCUGAGACCAGAAAACAUUUUAUUUAUCAUUAAAAUGGCAGUUUCUAUCAUGAGUUCUAUACGCACUGGAGCCCUUUAUAUGUUUUGUAGUUCGUUGAAUGGAAACAUGCAAGGACUACUAUCUCCGUGGGCAAAAGCAUACCCAUUUUAGUUGGCUGGAUUUUUCUUAAGUGUCUAUUAUACCCAAGACAUCGCAAAGCCUGUCUAGAAAGGGAUUUACAGAGAAAGCCUUUAAAAUUGUGCUUAGUAACAGUGGGCUUUGCUCUGUCAAGAGUGAGUCUGAACUUAGGAUGAGAUUUUAGAGAACCCAGACCUGCAUCCUUAGCAGUAGGAGUCAUUUGACUAUUAGGCAGCCCUAAGUAUUUUUGAACAUCAGAUAAUCUGUGAAGAGGCAUUCUAUAAUCCCAGACGCCAAAAAAGUUUCCCAGAAUUGUCUCUAGAUGGCUUCCAAUUUAAUUUAAUUAUUUUAAUUUAAUUCUCUUAAAACUGCUAUCAGAAAGAAGAUUGGGGCAAAGAAUAAGAUACUAAAAAAAGAAACUGAGAAGUAGAUGGAACGAAAUCAUCAAGGUCAAGUUCAAGGACUCUGGGACCUACUGUGAUCUCUUUCAGACGGUACUCACUGGCUUACUGGGUUUCCACCACUCGGCACCACUGAGGCCAGUCUUGGACUCCCCAAGGCUAACUAAAAUCUGUGUAAGAGCAAGAGUCUGGCGGAACAGACAUGGUUGAAGAAAAGAGCAAUAAGACUGGCCGAAACUGUCUGAUGACUGUUUGAAAGUCAACAUUUCCUUGGAUACCAUAGGAUGGUUAAUUCUGACAUCAGUAGAAAAUAAUGUGCUACUCCUGGAAAGCACCAACUCCUAUGGUGGAAAAUGGGGAAAUAACUAGCAACAUGAACGCUGUCUUCCUGACCAUCUUUAGGUGUAGGAGAAAUCAGAGUUGGAAAAUUAUAUGGGAUGGUGGAUACAAUCAUAACCAUUCUCUCUGUGUCUCUCUGUCUCAUCUCUCAUCUCUCUCCUCCUACCCCUCCUCUUCCUACCCACCUCCUCUCACCAUCCUUACAUCAUCUUUGUUACAAACUUCCAGCAAUAUUCUUCCCAUAAGAAGGGCAGUCAAAGUUAAAUAAGACAAGUCAACAAUUUGAAUAUAUGUCCACAAAAUUAUAUCUUUGUUGAGGUGCUGCUGCUAAUCUCUGUGCUGAUAAAAAGAAAACAAACCCAAGUCUAGAACAUUCCCAUCUUACUUUUGGAGGCAUCACCUGGGAGAACUUAUUAUAUAGAUUCUGGUUCAGGAUAUUUGGGAAGAGACAAGGACUGUCUAAUUAAAGCAAGCCGCCUGAUGAUACUGGCACUACUAAUGCCAAGACCACAUACAAUGACAAUAGCCAACAUGACCUCUGUGCUUCUUUCAAACAUUAUUCAAAGUCAAGUCAAUUGUUUGUCCAUAGCUAUCUGGUUUGAAUAAAGGUGUGCAUGUAUUGAAUACAAUAUGAAGCUAACAUUUUUAUGAAAUUGCGUCUUAAGGAAAAGGCAAUUUUUUAAAAUCAUUUUUCUGAUUAUAGCAAUGGCUUUUUCCAUGUAGACAGCCUAUAUUUGAAUAAGCAGAUUAUUAAAAAUAAACAAGGGGUGAGAUAAGAACUACAAAAUAAAGCAAUGUUCUGUUCAUGAAUAUUAAAAUAAAGACCCUCCCAGAAGAGAAACCAUUAUUUCUUCUGGAGGUCACAUACAUAUUGGGAUAUAUUUUGCUAGAUUUUUUACAUCAUUCACUGAACUUUACUUCCCUUGAUUAUGAUUUCAUGCCUUCAUCUUGGGGGCAGCCUUCAUUUACAAGGUCGACAAGGCCACUCGGUUCCAACUACCGACAUAGUACUUAAGCAACAACAGCAGCAAAAACCUUAAAAUCAGCUAUUUAAAGAAAAGUCAAAGCGCCCACCCUUCUUUUUUAUAAAACAGAAUUGUCCUGACAGGGCUUUCCUGUUUUCUUGAGUCAAUAGUCUCAAAUGGCUUAAAAAUAGAUGAUGGUUUUACAUUUAUCAUUUGAACAAACAUGGGAAAUACAAAAACAAUCCUCAUGGAAUUCCCGGUGUAACUUUCCCAUCCCUGCAGUUGGUACCACAGUUCUUUGGGAAUUGCAGAUUCCAUAAAUGAACACAUCAGUAACAUCUUGGCAUCUCGCCUCCUAAGGCACGGUGUCAUUUGAGGGCAAUCUCACUUGGAGGGCACACUCGUGAUUUCAGAAACUCUGCUAGAAAGCCUGGGGAUGCUGGGAGCUCAAUAACCUUUCUCUUCUGGGAGUACGGAAUGAGCUUAAGACACCACUAGAAUUUCAUUCUAUAUUCAAACCAUUUUUUCCUGCUCUCUGCUAUGCUCUAGGUAGAGCUAGGCUGCUAGGGGUUAAGGGAUAAACCAGUUUCCAGAAAAGAAGGUAUGGAGAACAACAUUUGUUAGUUACUUGUCUUUUUGGUUCAACAAAAUACCUGAUAAAAAUCAUGAGGAGAAAAAGAUAUAGUCUAUCAUGGUGGGAAAUUCAUAGUUGCAGAGGGGAGGGAUAGACCCUGUUCAUCUCCACCCAUGAAGAGAGAGCAAGGAAUGCCUGUGUUGAGCUCACUUUUUCCUCUGUACUCAGACGGAGUCUUUAACCCAUGAGCUCUUGCCACCCAGAGUUAAGGAGGGCUGUUCUAUCUUAACCAACAUACUCUGCACAAUCCUUCACAAGUAUGUUCAGAAAUCUUUGUAUGGUGAUUCUAAAUCCCAUCAAGUUUACAAUCUAGAUUUAACCAAGGCAUCAGUGAAUUACACAAUUUGGAGGUGUGUGCCAUAAUUUCAGGUAAAUGACUAAUUACCUUCAGGACAUUGGGGCAAUCUAUACAGUCUGACAAGCAACCCUAAGUUAUCCUAUAUGUAAGCAGAAGACUGAACUGGGUUCCUCAGGGCUGCUCUGGUGUUGACCCUCAAAAACGAAAAGCACUAAUUGCAUGAUGAUUUCGUGGUACUCCAUAGAGGGUGUCACUGUGUGAGCACAGAGGCUGCAGGAUGUGUACCAAAGGCUCCAUGGAGAAAAACUGGGAUGCGAAGUUAGAGAAAGGAAGUUCUCACUUCACACUUACUUAGGGACCAUUCCUUCAUUAGCCAGCAUCAUCUGAAGACUCUAAGCCUCUGGCAGUCCCCAUACUCAGCACCUGACAGGUGAGAAAGAGACUCUUGUGCCAUUGUGCAAUUUAGAGUCUCCUGGGAGAGAUAGGUAACAAAUAAGUAAAAAUGAAAAACACAAGAUAAUUGCAGAUUGUUAUAAGUGACAUCGAGGAAAUAAACAAGGGAUGAAGUCUCCAAGCAGCUUUUCCAGGAGGAGAAAAGAAGCUGACUUUAGAAGGACCUGACAAGGAGGAAAACACAUGAGGUAAGGAUGCAGAGAAGUAAGAUGAGCAAGAGGGAGAAUGCAUGAGGAGAAUUAGGACAAGUCUAAGAAGGCCUCAGCAGACACAGUGAGAAGCUGCUUUCUAAACACAAGGGGGAUUUGCAUCUAGGAAGCAACAGGAUCCAGUUAUAGCCAAAGCCUGCAGCUUUUGUGUGGGCAAAGAAGAAUGAAGGGAGUCACUGUGAGCUCCUGAAAUUUUGCUCAUUUGUUUCUUUACAAUCAUUUAGAGCCAGUUGAAGUCAGAAUUUCUGUGCACAGAUUUUCUGAAUCUAUCCCAAGAGGAGAGUAAAGAAGCUCUAAGGACAGAGCUGUAUUUUGGAAACAAGCACUUUCACUUUCACAGAGUAGGACUUGUUCCACUGCCCCAAAAUGAAAUGUCCAUUCUGCUUAUUCUCUCAGACCUGGAGUCCCCCUUUUCUCCAGGAUUGAGGAGUCUACUGAGAAGGAAUGGCAUCCCCAAAGUAAUGUUUGGACCUGACUAAGUGGACUCAUUGAAUUCCUAUUGAGUAGCAGCCACAGAGCAUGGGGUGAGAAGUCGCUGGAAGGACAAGUUGACAGAUAGGACUUGGGUCGCUGGGUCACCGCGAGGCGUCGUGAUCUGGACUCAGACAGAGCGAUUUCCUCGGUGAUUUUAAUCUUUUCGUCUGUUCACACGUCAUGCCACCUGGACAUAAUGCAGAGAAGUCUGGAAGCCUAACAGAGUUUUCCCCUUGCCCCAAUGCUCACCCAGGGAACAGGGAGGAAGAGAGGGAAGGAGAGUUAACCCUUUCCCAGCCUUCCUCAGCCACAGCAGCAAACCUGGCCCACAUCAUUGACAAUUAACAAUUUCAGAUCUCUGAAAACAAGAGCCAUGUCUUUAUGAACCCUGUCAAUAAUACAAGAUGCUUCGCUACUGCCAUACACACAUGAAAGUGACUGCUCAUCCCCUUUGACCUGCCUUCUGCAGUGGUUUUGACUGACUUUUGAGUCAUAGACAUCACAAAAAAAUUGGGGGGCUUUUGGAGAGAAGUGCAGAGAGCAAUAGAAGGGAUACUGAGGAAGAGAGCUACUAUUAAUAUCUUCCCCAUCACUGUGGCCAGACAGUUUACUUGCCUGAUUUCCUCAUAAGCUAUUCUGAGCUAUUUUUUUUUUUUUUUUUUGCUAAUGGUUAGAAUUAGCAGAUUUCAGUAAAGUGGAUGCCAACAUUCUAGAAAAAUGGCUCCUCAGAAUCUGCUGGAGGUAUGAGAGACCCUCAGAGAGGAAGGUGGGGUGGGGAGAGGCUACAGAAGAGAGCGCUCCUCCGGGUCUCACCUGGGGAUAGGAGAUAAGAAGAGAAAGGCAUCUGUGAAGAAGCCUGGAGUCGCCAUUUGGCGGAAAAUGCUUGGAACUGGGACCAGUAAGUGAAAUGAGCCAGACAUGGAAAGAGAAUCUCGAUUUCCUCUCAUGGGCAGAAUCUAGGUUGAAUUUUACAAAUCCUUGUUUCUAUAUCUACCUACACGUGUGUGUGUGUGGAGAAUCAAAUGGAGGAGCGGAGAGCAGAAGACUGAAAGGAUACGCUUAACAGGGAAGCAAAAGGUGGGGCUUAUUUGAAAGAGGAAGGAGACUGACGCAGCCACCUUUAAUCGCUGCGGGAACUUGAAAGUGCAGCUCAAGUCCUGGGGCUGAACAUCUGCAUUGCAGUGAGUCCUAUCUGAGGACAGGUGAAUGUCCCUCUCUUGGCAUCAAUGAUAGCUUGGGACGAGAUGCAUGAAUGAAGUGACCUAGCUAAAAGCUACUCAGAAAUGAACUAAGCAAAGGCAGAUCUGCAAGUCUUUCCAGGCCAUGAAUUUGAGGACACUUUAGCCCGGUGUUUCUUACCCUUCCUAAUGCUGAGACCCAUUAGUCGAGUUCCUCUUUUUCAUAAUGUGGUGGCCUCCAACAAUACAAUUAUUUUCAUUGAUACUUUAUAACUGGAAGUUUGCUACCAUUAGUAAUCUUUUUUUCCUUCUUCUUGAUAUAGAGGUUUGUCAAAGAGGUUGCAACUUACAGGUUAAAAAACCAAUGCUUUAGCUCUUCAGGCAGACAUGACUCAUGAAAACACUUCUCUGAUGAGUUUGGCCAAGUGGCAUCAGCUCAAAGGAAAGCAGUCAGCUACAUCUGCAAGGAGCUUUCCAGAAAGAGGGAAAACUACAAUUAGUUCCUCGGUCAUAUGACUCCAGCUUGCACAGGUGGUAGCCCUAGGUCUUGGCCAAAUUCCAGUUUGGAUAAUUCCAUCCCUCUUCUCAUUAUUCUGGCUUCAGCUCCACUGGGAGGGACGAUUGCCUUUCUUUCCUGUCCUAACGUUUGGGAGCUGCCAUAGCCAGGAGAGAGACUACAUUGUGCAUUUUUUCCCCUGGUCUCUAAUGAGACUAUUUUUCUUCUUAGACCAACUUCCAGAUAGCUUAUUUUUAGAAUCUAGCCCCUAGACCUUUCCCAACUAGCCAGGUAAAUUAGUGAAUCAUAAACCACAGUAAUUGUGGGACUGCUCUGUAGAGACUACAAAGGCAGAGAGGGAAUUGCUGGCAUUCCAGGCUGACCACAGAGAAUUCUAAAGUAGACAGGCCACAAUGGAGAGUGGAAACUCAGGAAUAUCUCCCCACCUAAUAGUAUGUUAUGUGUAAAAGUAAAAUGCUGUGUAAACAAACAUAUUGUUUGUAAGUCAACGAUUUUAAUCCCUAGUAAUUGAAACCUUCAAUUUUAAAAGCUAAGAAUGAGUAGAUGUAACUUGGAGAGAUUGAGUCUAUAGAACAAGCUGAGGAGCUCUGUGUUUCUGUCUCUGGUUGUUUCCUUUUCUGGCUUUGCAAACUUUCAUUACAAAACCAUGGUUUCUUUGCUUCCCCAACAGGCUUCUCCACUGUCUCUUAGGACAAAGUUUGUCAGUCUGUCAUCUCGCUUCAAUAGAAGCUGAGUAUUAAAAUCCAAACAUCAGAGACCUAAGGAGAUAGCUUUCUGGGUAAAGGGUUUAUCUUUUUAGCAUCACCUGCUAGAUCCCCUGAACCCACAUCAGAAAGCUAGGUGGUCAUUUGUUUCUAUUCCCAGACUUGGGGAGGCAGCUACAGGCUAAGCCACAUGGCUCUUUGUCCAGGUAUCCUGGCCUACUUGGCAAGUUCUAGGCCAAAGAGAGACUUGUCUCUAAAAAUAAGCAAGAUGGCUCCUGAGGAGUAGCACCCACUGCUGUCACCUGCUGGCAUCACGGGGAUUGGAGAAUGUGUGCACAUGAUCUCUCACACACUAGAUGUGAUUCUUCCCCAUAGUAGUAAAGAAAACCUAGAGAGACAAGUUUGUUUAUUAUACAUUCAUGGUAUAGUAACAAACCAGAGGUUACUUGUUUAAAAUCUAAAACUUUUGAUACCAUUUAAAUUUAAAACAUAGGAAAACAUUAAAUAUUAAAUAAGACAGUGGAUCAAUUUUAGGAUACCACUAUCUUGAACACUAGAGUCACCACCUCCAUUUAAUUCUUUUCUGCAACUGAGACUCUUCCUACCCCAAACUUGGUUGAAGAGGCAACCAGUGCCCAAUUGAGAAACUCCGACAUCUAAAAAUGAAAUUAGUUAUGAUGAGAACUGUUUAAGAAACAGCAGCAUAUAACAGCUCUUUAAGAAUGCUAGGCUUCGAUAUUUUGGAAUUAGAAACUUGCUCUGUCUUCUAAAGCUUGAAGAGCUUGGAAGAACAAUAAUAGGUGAGGCUUAGGUCUCUGAUCUGUGGCGGGGGAAACAACAACUGUUCAUGGGAAGGGGAUUAAAUCAGGGUCCAUGGCUAUAAGGAGGACAUAGUCAAAGUUCGAAUAACAACAAAGUAUUCAGGUCGCUCCAGUGAGGGCCUUCCUUGUCUGCCUAAGUCUUUGAUGACCUCCCAGUCCAGUCCAGAGGGCUUCAUUGCUUUUCCUGUAGGAACCAACUUUCUUUGCUAUCCAUUUGGCAAACUCAAGGAUCCCAAAACUGCAAAGGUUGGCCAAGUAACAAGUGCAUUUCUUUGAAGGUAACAGUAGGACUGUUAAUCCUGGUGGCCUCCUGACUGAAAGAGUAGAUUAAACAAGAAUAAAAGGCAUGUAGUUGUUGAAUGUCUGAAUUCAUUACAGAUUUUGGGUUCUCAAAGAUGUUUGUGUCCUAAAUGAAUGACAGGUGAGCAACCCUUUUGACCCAUAUUGCCCACAAAGGGAAAAUUUUGAGUGACAGCUCUGUAUUCAUAAUUCAACUUUUAGUAGAGUCUACAAAGGACUUCCCGUUUGAGCAGGUAGAGACUUCAUUCCAACAUAAAGACACAAUUGGAAGUGACAGAACUUAACCAUGUGACAGUGCAGGAUUAGGAAUGGGGUCAAAUAAAGAGGCAAUGUCUAGCUGAGAAAGGGCCACUAGGGCUCUUAUGUCAGCUCUUUGCCUCAAUUACCUGAAUCCUCAACUUGUUCAUUCACAAUAAAAAUAAAUAUUUGUUUUGCGAACUUUGGUCAUUUACCUAGAAAAUAAGACCUUCAGAGUUUGUUG
rnacentral:sRNA from 1 species